AAGUCUAAAUUUGGUCUGGCAAAAGUUCUCCCUUCUGUACGUGAUCUGGCGGGAGAAACAGAGUUCUUUUAAUUAAAGAGCACUGCUUGCCGAAGUAAAUUACUCUCAUUGUCGGUACGAGAGUGUUUAACACUCUGGAGGUACGAUUUAUCAAAGGGAACAGGUGGUACUUCUCUGGUAUAGCUCUCACUGUACCCACAAAAAUAAUAAAUUAAACGCGUCUUCUUCUAAACGAGCCAAUUCCCGCUGGUAUUCGCCGCUUUCAAAAUGCUCUUAAUUCACCGUGCGUUGAUUAAUGUUGUAAUUUAAGGUAUAUAAGAGCUGUUAUUCAAUGGUUUAUGAGAGUUAUAGAACCUUCGCAGGAUUAUAGGUCAUUCUGUCGGCCAGAGUCAAUAUUUGUAGUUGUGUUCAAUUAUGCGUCUUGCCGUUCUGUGUUUUCUAUGUGCGUUGAUUUGGAAGAUGAGCUGGAGUUUAGAGAGCCGAGGAAAUUCUAUGAUAGCCGACGAGAGAAGCAACAUCGACAAAAGAAGAAAGAAUAGAGGCGACCGCCCUCCUUGCUGGUUUGGAAGGUGUAGGAGAAGACGGAGUUAUUCAUUGGACCCCUCAAAGAGCGAGAUUCGACUACACGAUGAAGCAAAGUCAUAUGACAUCGACGAAGAGCUUUGAUGUGACUGACAGAAGCUGUCGACUUAAAAUUUCAAAACAAGAGAGGAAAUUGUAUUCACCUUGGUGGUAUAUUAGUUGUGGACUGAAAUAAGAAAUUUAAAAGUACAGAGUAUUUUCUGCGAUUACGCCAUCAAAAUAGUACCAUUGAUAUCGUAAUCAUUCUUUUGUUUCAUUUAUUCAUUUCUUCAUUACCUUUUUACUUGAAUUUGUCUUCAUUCGCCUAUGCAUCCAUUUUAUUACUGAAGUCGACGGAAACGUUCAGUUUAGGAAAUGACCAACGUUUUACGAUAUUUUCCCAAAAAUAAAAUCCAUCUUCUCUUACAAGGAA